CUAAUCUUUGUUCAAGAUGAGAGGGCUUACAUUACUCUGUCUGAUGGGAUUCAUUUUCACGGUAUCGACAUCAAAUGUGUGGCCAAAGGGAAGCAGGACACCACUUGAAAAUAUUGAGGGGUUUAACACAGAAACCAACUCAACAACGUGGAAUGGUACUAGUGAGGCAAUUGAAAACAAUUAUGGGUUCCCACCAUUACCUGCUGACGAAGCAAACACCCAGG